UACGUAGGUGGCGAGCGUUGUCCGGAUUUACUGGGCGUAAAGGGAGCGUAGGCGGACUUUUAAGUGAGAUGUGAAAUACCUGGGCUUAACUUGGGUGCUGCAUUCCAAACUGUAAGUCUAGAGUGCAGGAGAGGAGAAUGGAAUUCCUAGUGUAGCGGUGAAAUGCGUAGAGAUUAGGAAGAACACCAGUGGCGAAGGCGAUUCUCUGGACUGUAACUGACGCUGAGGCUCGAAAGCGUGGGGAGCAAACAGGAUUAGAUACCCU
rnacentral:rRNA from 1 species